ensembl:lncRNA
CAACACCCUGAUGGUGUGUAGACCGUGUGGAAAGAUUAUGCAGAGGGAGGAACUCAGAAACACCACCUGGAGAAGCACUCAGCAGUUUGCAUCUGCCCAGCCUAGGUGCCCUGGGUGAGCCCUGGAGCUGAUACCAAAGAAAGAGGAGAUGACCCCCACCAGAACCCACCCAGAUCACAGACUGCUGAGUAAAACACGAAAAGCUUGCAGCCACCAAGCUUCGGGGUGGUUUGCAGCACAGCCAUCAUAACAAGAAUGACAUUCUCAGCCUUUUGCUUUCAUCAGCUUAGUACAUUCCAGGAAAAAACCUUGCAGAGCAUUUAAUAGAAAUGCUUUGAAUGGGGGAUGAACAUGGACAUCUUUCCAACACCAAGUCUUGCCAUCAGGACAUGCACCACGCCAAAUCCUUCUCUCCGCGUCUAUUGAAGACAUCAAGGUCAGAGUGAGCACGUAAAAUGAACUGCCCCAUUUUUCUUCUUACUCAUCCAGCUGUCCAUGAGGCUGAGGUCGCACUGGCUGCCCCUGUCCUGGAGGAAGGCCUGAAUGGACUGACUGGGGGAUGGGUGUCUGCUGACUCAAGUUGGCCCAGGUGCCCCCACGGGUCUCCAUGCUGUCAGUGCAUCCAGGGGCACAGCCGACUGAGACACAGAUAGGCCGGGUGUGGGCGGGAGAAUGACUCGAGGAGCCCCCAUGUAGGUCCGUCCAACUCGAGGAUGACAUUGGCUAACGAGGAAUGUGAAGGAGAGGUGGGAACUGCCAUCUCUCAAUCAAAGCCUUCUGCCACUCCGACCAUCCUGGGCUGUGUUUCUGAUGCGGACUGGACCACAGGGCACUGCCAUCCCAUGGGCUGCGUGCCAUCCACCCUGCUCCACAGACAACGCAGCAAAGCUCGAGAGGCUGUGGGGCUCACCCAGAGCUGGUGUGAAAUGAUGGAGCCAGGAUGCAAAGCCAGACUCCCGGCUCCGGCUCCCCCAACAACACCGCCCUCU